UCGGACGGCAGCGGAGGUGCUUGCACCUGCCGGCGAGUGGCGAACGGGUGAGUAACAUAUUGGAAUGUACCGAGUAAUGGGGGAUAACCAAUCGAAAGAUUGGCCAAUACCGCAUACGCUCUGAGGAGGAAAGCAGGGGACCUUCGGGCCUUGCGUUAUUCGAGCGGCCAAUAUCUGAUUAGCUAGUUGGUAAGGUAACGGCUUACCAAGGCGACGAUCUUUAGGGGGCCUGAGAGGGUGAUCCCCCACACUGGGACUGAGACACGGCCCAGACUCCUACGGGAGGCAGCAGUGGGGAAUUUUGGACAAUGGGCGCAAGCCUGAUCCAGCCAUGCCGCGUGUCUGAAGAAGGCCUUCGGGUUGUAAAGGACUUUUGUCAGGGAAGAAAAGGGCGGGGUUAAUACCCCUGUCUGAUGACGGUACCUGAAGAAUAAGCACCGGCUAACUACGUGCCAGCAGCCGCGGUAAUACGUAGGGUGCGAGCGUUAAUCGGAAUUACUGGGCGUAAAGCGGGCGCAGACGGUUACUUAAGCAGGAUGUGAAAUCCCCGGGCUCAACCUGGGAACUGCGUUCUGAACUGGGUGACUAGAGUGUGUCAGAGGGAGGUAGAAUUCCACGUGUAGCAGUGAAAUGCGUAGAGAUGUGGAGGAAUACCGAUGGCGAAGGCAGCCUCCUGGGAUAACACUGACGUUCAUGCCCGAAAGCGUGGGUAGCAAACAGGAUU
rnacentral:rRNA from 1 species